AUUUUGCAGUACAUCCCCAAUGCCUGGAAGCAUUGUCUGAGCUGGUCUGCAGUCUAAUCCUACUUUAGGAGUCUUGCCAACUAUUUAGCCUUUUCUAAGUAGAAAUACAGCCACAUGCAAUUUAAUUAUUGCAAACUGUUUUAAUUAGAAAAAACAUGAACUUCUGUUGAUGUAUGACAUCUGGGGGAAGCUACACUUGUAACAACAGUAUUUAAAUAACCCUGAUCAAGCACAACCUUUUUAGUUAAAGCAAGCUAUGGCAAAUAUUGUAGGCUCACAGACCAGCCUAAAGAGCUGCUGCCGGGUUAUAUAAUCUUUGAGCACUCAUCUAAGGUAACUCUGAAGGCAAGCACAUAGGGGGAAAUUGCUAAGGAUUUUUGUUUGCUUCAGCCAUAUCCCCCAGUGCAUGACAACCACUGUUCCAUAAGCUGGCAGUAUUGAUGGUGGCUGUUCCAGACCCCUCUGGACAAGGAAGCUCCAUUUGUGCAACAAAAUAUUUCCUACAGGUGACCAAAAAGCACACCCAGAAAAUAAGGGCAGAUUGUUUUCUGUCCUUGCUGGCAUAUACAGAUGUUUAAAUUUGCUUUCCUAAUCCUUUGUUUGCCAGGUUAAAUCUCAGUAAGUUCCCAUGUAUCUUGGUAAAAAGAAUACACAGAAAAAUUCCUCUUUGUCCAUGGAGCAGAGGCACUACAAAAAAUGAGUUCACCAUGUUAAAUUAAGGCAUGAAGUCACUACCCUUCAUGCACAUCAGUCCAUUAGAGGAGGCUCUUCAUUCUCUCAGGAACGAUCUCUUUCUUUGUUUCACUGAGGAUGGUGCAACUGAGCUUAAGGCUGUCUCCCCUCACACAAGAGUAACACAGCACAUUUUCACUUAAAAAGCUCAGAAAAUCCCAGCUUGCUGAUUGCACCCUUCAGGAAAUCUCUCUGUCUUUUGUAUUUUGCCUGCAGUACUGCAUUGCACAAUAUUCCACUUAAUUAGUCAGUUCUGUACUCUUUAAUCUACCAACACACAUUAUUCCUCCUAUUUUCUCCUCAGUUGGGUGUUCUCUUACUCUUCAUGUUUCCAGCUUGGUGAAUGUUUCUGUAGAAAGGUUUGGACCUAGCUAUGUUUCCUCCUAUCUCUCUUGGUCAAGUAAUACCACCUGUGUAAUUUCCCUGCUGUGUGUUGAUGCCUUAACUUGCUGACUCUGUCUUCUUUUCUUCUGUAUCCAUCUUCCAUUUGUUCAUGAACUUCUGCCCUUAAAGACACAGAGAAUUUGUAGAACUAUUUCACUCCACGUAUCUGCAAAAAAAAUAUGGAUUAGAACAGACAGAACCUGAACAAUGUGCCACCAAGGAAAAAAAAAGCAGAACAAGCAAAGAAUUUCAAGUUCUAAAAAUUAAAGCAGCUAUGCCUUUACUGCAUGUGUAACAAUCACUGAAGGUGCAUUUGGACCUCCAGGGUCAUGAGGAAAGACUGAUCCAACACAGCACUUCAGUGUGGGAG